rnacentral:sRNA from 1 species
UAAAGCCGAGUCCAGCUCAGGAGCGGGGAAACCAUUUUUUCAUGGGGUGAGUGUUUUUCCUUUUGGUGCUAGCGACUGAAGGAGAAGCAGGGGCGGUCCUUUCUGCCCUAACCCGACAGCUAACCUCGUAGGCGAAUAGAGAGAGGA